rnacentral:rRNA from 1 species
GACGAACGCUGGCGGCGCGCCUAACACAUGCAAGUCGAACGAGCGAGAGAGAGCUUGCUUUCUCGAGCGAGUGGCGAACGGGUGAGUAACGCGUGAGGAACCUGCCUCAAAGAGGGGGACAACAGUUGGAAACGACUGCUAAUACCGCAUAAGCCCACGGGUCGGCAUCGACCAGAGGGAAAAGGAGCAAUCCGCUUUGAGAUGGCCUCGCGUCCGAUUAGCUAGUUGGUGAGGUAACGGCCCACCAAGGCAACGAUCGGUAGCCGGACUGAGAGGUUGAACGGCCACAUUGGGACUGAGACACGGCCCAGACUCCUACGGGAGGCAGCAGUGGGGAAUAUUGCACAAUGGGGGGAAACCCUGAUGCAGCGACGCCGCGUGGAGGAAGAAGGUCUUCGGAUUGUAAAACUCCUGUUGUUGAGGAAGAUAAUGACGGUACUCAACAAGGAAGUGACGGCUAACUACGUG